rnacentral:lncRNA from 1 species
UAAAAGACUUAAUAAAGACAUGAUCAUGGUUAUGGUUGAGUAAUGAUGAGACUUAUAUUUAUGUUUGUUAGGUAGAUGUUGCAGUUUUCUCUAUUCAUAAAAUAUUCUAUGUAAUUUGUGUCUUUUUUGUGAUAUCGUGCUCACCUGUUUCUUUUGAGUUGAAAAAAUGAUUUUCUUAUAAUACCUAAAUUUGUUCAUCUUGGAGAGUUUGCAAGGUAAGU